rnacentral:rRNA from 1 species
AGAGUUUGAUCAUGGCUCAGGAUGAACGCUAGCUACAGGCUUAACACAUGCAAGUCGAGGGGAAACGACAUCGAAAGCUUGCUUUUGAUGGGCGUCGACCGGCGCACGGGUGAGUAACGCGUAUCCAACCUGCCCACCACUUGGGGAUAACCUUGCGAAAGUAAGACUAAUACCCAAUGAUAUCUCUAGAAGACAUCUGAAAGAGAUUAAAGAUUUAUCGGUGAUGGAUGGGGAUGCGUCUGAUUAGCUUGUUGGCGGGGUACGGCCACAAGGCGACGAUCGAGUAGGGGUUCCGAGAGGAAGGUCCCCCACAUUGGAACUGAGACACGGUCCAAACUCCUACGGGAGGAA